GACGGGGGGGGCAAGUGUUCUUCGGAAUGACUGGGCGUCAAGGGCACGUAGGCGGUGAAUCGGGUUGAAAGUGAAAGUCGCCAAAAAGUGGCGGAAUGCUCUCGAAACCAAUUCACUUGAGUGGGACAGAGGAGAGUGGAAUUUCGUGUGUAGGGGUGAAAUCCGUAGAUCUACGAAGGAAGGCCAAAAGCGAAGGCAGUUCUCUGGGUCCCUACCGACGCUGGGGUGCGAAAGCAUGGGGAGCGAACAGG
rnacentral:rRNA from 1 species